rnacentral:rRNA from 1 species
GUCCACGCCGUAAACGAUGAAUGCCAGACGUCGGGUAGCAUGCUAUUCGGUGUCACACCUAACGGAUUAAGCAUUCCGCCUGGGGAGUACGGCCGCAAGGUUAAAACUCAAAGGAAUUGACGGGGCCCGCACAAGCGGUGGAGCAUGUGGUUUAAUUCGAAGCAACGCGCAGAACCUUACCAACCCUUGACAUGGGUAUCGCGGGAUCAGAGAUGAUCCUUUCAGUUCGGCUGGAUACCACACAGGUGCUGCAUGGCUGUCGU